AUGCAGGCUAGCGAGCUGAAACAGAAAGUUGCUAAGAAUAGGAAGCUUGUGGAACAGUAUGAGCUUGAGUUGGAAGAAUGUGAAGCACAGAAGAAGGAAUUGAUUGAGAAGCUGAAAACAGUGUGUGAGAAAGAGAUUCUUUGUAAAGAGAAUCUGGCCAGAGCAAAGGAUGAGUCUGCUACUACAUCACGAGUAGCUGGGUUUGCCAUAACUAAAGUCGGACGCUUUCUUAAUUGCUCAAUGGUUGAUGCUUUGAUUUAA